GGGCCGGAGGCUUCAGCUCACACCGGGGAAAUCUUGCAGGCAUGUUACUGACGGCUGCAAAAUCUCUUUCGAUUUAGGUAAUAAGAUCAGCAAAUUAAUCCUUUCACAGAUCAUUGCCUACCUAAAUGCACUCUCCACACAUCAGAACCGGGGGCUGUGCCGAGAAUGAGGUAGCUGGGGUCUGUUUGCAGGGAUGGGGCCGGAGCAUGGUGGACUUGCCUGGCUUAGGGGCUGCAGGUCCCUGUGCAGGGCACUGGACAAGCCAAGCCAAGGAAUUUCUCCACUCUCCGUUUAUUCUGCUUGGACUGCAAAAUUCAGCCUCAGAGGGUCCCAUGACUCCUGUGAUCUGGCCUCCUACUUCUGACACUUGGAUGGGGCACUUGGGCGUCUGUGAGAGGAGAGAACAGCCCCAGAUGAGAACUGGUCACCAAAGUCUGUAAUAGGCACCAUUUAAAACAUGUUUAAUUGUUUUUAAAAGUAUCAUUUCUGGAUACAAAGACUAUGUGUUUUUUGUUUGUUUUUGUUUCCAGAAAUGAUGGUUCCUUCUUCUUUCCACCAGUCCUCACUGGUGGCCGGUGGGGUUGGGCAUGCCUGUGAGGCCGACCUUAGUUACUCCAUCCCCAGCGCCUGCAGAGGCCACACUGAUCCUGCAUGCCCACAGCCCCACCAUAAACCACAUUGUGAGCAUACGCUGCGUGGCCCAACGCCUCAGGUAUACAAAGACGCUCUUAUCCGGAGGGCUUAUCUGGCAGACUCUCCGGGGCUUAGAGGUUAGAGGUCAUCUCCUAGGAGCUGAAAUACAUUCAUAUCACAUAAAUGUAACCCUUUAAAGUACGCAAUUCAGUGGCAUUUAGUACUUUCGCCAUGUUGUGCAACCACCACCUCUAUCUGCUUUCACAACAUCUUCACACCCCAGGAAGAAACCGGUCGCCGUGAGCAGUCACCGCCCUCCCCAGCCUCAGGCAGCCCCCAGCCUGCUUCUGUUUGCCUGUUCUGGAUGUUUCAUGUCCAUGGAAUCAUAUGGUGCGUGCCUUUCGCACGUGGCUUCUCCCACCCCGCAUCUUGUUUUCAAGGUUCACCCAGCCGUAGCCGGUCAUCGCGUCAUUCCUCUUUAUGGCCGUGGAACAUUCCAUCGUGUGGCUAGGCCAUAUUUUGCGUAUCCGUUUAUCACGUGAUGAACUCUGGCCUGUUUCCACCUUUUGGCUCCUGUGAAUAGCAUUGCUGUGAUGGCUGCAAGGCAGGGGACACGGGUCAGGCUGAGGUUGGAGUGAGAGAAGUGGAGGUAAGCUGGAACUUCCUGCUUCAAUUUGAAGUGAAUUCUCAGAAUAUCAGACAUACCUGUAUUGAGUCUAAGCACGACAAAACAUUAGAAACUGGAAGCAGUGACCUUGCGUUUCCUUAUGGCUUCGAGGACUCACCUUUUGGUCUUCCCAUGUGCGGGGGGAGCUGGUGGCGGGUGACAGGCUUUAUCCCGGAGCACUGGGCACCGAGACCUAAGAUGCGGCUCGUGCAGGGAGAGGCCGGGUACCCUCCGGGGAUACGGAGGCAGCUUGCAGAGACAGCCUCUUGCUGAGUUCUUUCCUUUUAGCGUCUGCUCCUGCAGUGGCCGGGAGAGCACUGGAACCCCGUUCCUUGCUGGCUGGCCCUGAUAAUGAGAAAGUCUGUUUGUGCAGUGGUGAGGGCUGCGUCCUUGACUUCCACUCCCAAACCUGGUUUUGCCUUCCCGAAUCACCUACAAGGUACCAAAUACCUCUCAUGUGAGACAUCUCAGCCGGAGGCUCCGUGAAUGGGCCUUGGCAGACUCUGCAGUUGCCACACCUCCGUGAACGAAUGUGCUACCCUCUCUGCACACUGUGAGCCAAGGUGAAGGGUCCGCACGCCAACACCUUGUCCUGCCCCGAGAGUCCCGGCCUCUUCUCCCCUGAGUCUUUGCUGUGUUUGAAGACAUUGCUGUGGCUCCUGUAGCCUUCUCUCUUGGGCACAGCAUCCCCGGCUCUCUCCGCUCUCUUCCAUCCGGGCUGGUGUCCCUUUUUCUUCCAUCUGGGCUGGUGUCCCUUUUCCCAUCUGGUGUUGCCUGCUUAAUUCCAGGUAAUUGGGCUGAGAGGAGAUGGGGACGGGAGGUGGCAGUCAUUAUAUGCUUAGCAGCUCAUCCCGCCAGCAAGAUGAGUUUAAUUGUCCCACCUGGUGACAUCAAACAUCCUGGCCACCUGUCCUCAGUGGGUCUGCUGUGAGGGGACAGGAUGACAUGUGAGUCCCUGGGCCAGCCUAAUUGGAGAGUCUUUUUUUCCUUUUCUUUCCUUUCAUUACAAUAAUGGAUUCAACCUCCUCUGCAUAGGGAGUGGGAGGGGAGUAAUUGGAAGACAUUAAACUCCUUCCUGGGGAGGGGAGGUCAGAAGAGGCCACCUUUGGAUUGCUGAGCUUUGAGGCUGGGGUCCGGCCCCCUCCAGCGUGCUUCUGGUCACAGCGGCCAGCUCUCUGAAGGGUGGGCUCGAGUCACCAGCUGGCUUGCUCCAUCAAUCUGGCACCUCUUCCACACCCCAGGCCCCUGUUGCCCUGGUCAGUAGCACAAGCCAAGGGCAACUCAGUGAGGAGUAGCACUGGGUAGCCCCAGCUCUCCGGCCUGGCAUGGUCACUGCCUCAUUUGCACCACUGCUCCUCCUUUGCAUUCGUCCAGCCAUGGCUGGGGCCUCCAAGUUUAGGCAGAACAAACUGUGUUAGAUGGUGCGUGUGUAUGGGUGUGCGCAUGUGUGUAUGUACAUGUGCACGUACAUGUGCACAUGGGGGUAUGUGUGCAGGUGCACAUGGGUGUGUGUUUGUGUGUGCAUAUGGGUAUGUGUGUGUGUGUGUGUGUGCAGAUGAGUGCAUGUAUGUGUGCAGGUGCAUGUGGGUGUGUGCAGGUGCAGAUUUGUGUGUGUGCAGGUACAUGGGGGGUGUGUGCAUAUGCAGAUGUGUGUGUGCAGGUGCAUGGGGUAUGUGUGUGCAUGUGCAGAUGGGGGUGUGUGUGCAGGUGUGCAGGUUCAUGGAGUGUGUGUGUAUGUGCAGAUGGGUGUGUGUGUGUGUGCACACGUGUGUGUAUAUAUGCUCAUGUGCCCACACCCAUCUCUGCACUGGGAGCUCCCGGCAGGCCUAGAUCUUGCUCAUUCUGUAUCCCAGUAUCUCCAACAGUUGCGUCUGAAUGUAGGGAUCAUGCCAGCGGGAGCAGCAGGCACCCAGAGUGUUUUGGAUCCUCCCUGGGGCUUGGUUGCAGGUUCUCAAGGGCUGGUGCUCCUCAUGGUGAGGACAGGUGAAGGGAGGGUGCUCGGCUGUCCUGUCUGGGCAGUGUUGGCAUGGGGAGGGAGAGCCCAGGGCACUCAGGCCUGGCUUGGUUUCUUUUGGUUUAGGGAUGCCAAUGCUGAUGUGGCAGCCAAGGCUAGUGACAGAGCUGGCCCUAGGUGGGGAAGCGCUUUGGUGCAGCAAAGGGGGGC
rnacentral:lncRNA from 1 species